rnacentral:misc_RNA from 1 species
CGAUCGUCGUCGCGGGAGGCAGCGCAGGCAAAGCGCGCGGCGGUCGCCACAUCAAGUACGCCGAGCCGAUGCCGCUGGCAAACCUGCACUUGACGAUGCUCGACAACGUGGGUGUGCGGCUCGAUUCGUUCGCAGACAGCACGGGAAAGAUCGAUACGCUGCUCAAGCCAGUUGAUUUGGCGGGAUGAAGCUGGGUGCGAUGGGUGCAACGGGUGCGAUGGGUGCAACGGGUGCGAUGGGUGCAACGGGUGGGAGGAGUGCGAUGCGCGCAUUAGGUGUUGUGAUGCUCGUCGUGGCAACUGCGUCACCGUUGUACGCAGCGGAUUCAGCGCUCGCGGGCGCGGUGCAGCGGAUGGACGGUGCCGCCAUUCGCCAGCUGAUCGAAAAACGCGCCGAGAUCAAUACCGCUCAGCCGGACGGCACGACGGCCUUGCAUUGGGCGGCGCACCAUGACGAUCUGGAUCUGGUGAAUCGGCUGCUCGCCGCGGGCGCCGAUGUGCGCGCGUCGAACCGGUACGGCGUAACGCCGCUCGCGCUCGCGUGCAUCAACGGGAACUCCGCCAUGGUCGAGCGAUUCCUCGAUGCGGGCGCCGAUGCGAACGGCUCUCUGCCGAGCGGAGAAACGAUGCUGAUGACCGCCGCGCGGACGGGCAAGGUCGCCGCUGUUCGUGCGCUGCUUGCGCGCGGCGCCGAUGUGCACGCGAAGGAGAGCCGGCGCGGACAGACGGCCCUCCUGUGGGCGGCGGCCGACGGCCAUGUCGAGGUGAUAGAAGAGCUCAUCAAGGCCGGCGCCGACUUCCGUACGCCGCUUGAUUCCGGGUAUACGCCGCUCUUGUUCGCGGUUCGCCAGGGACAAAUUGGCGCGGUCAAAGCGCUCCUGAAAGCCGGCGCCGACGUCAAUGAGGUCGUCCGCGUAACCAGGCCGC